UUUUUUACUAAUACAAUCGAUAAGGUUAAAAUUGUAAUUUUAAUAUUGUUGCGGAGGUUUCAAAAUUUACAAUAUUAUAUAAAUAAAUAAAUUGACAUUUGUUUAUGGAAAUGUUAUGGCGAAGGUUACCGAAAUUUUUUGAUAGGAGAUACAAGAAUUUUAUGUGAAAGGAUGUGACACUAACAAUUAAUAAUCACUCACUCUUUUAUGUUAAGCCCGUCUUGGUAAAAUAUUAUAUUUUUAUGUAUUUUUUUUUAUAAAAUCUUUAGUAAGAAUAAACUAGUACUUUUUGUUUAGAUUUGAAUCUAAUAAAUAUAAAUUCUUUUUGUAUUGGAUAUGGGAAUGGGAGAGCAUGAUUGAUGUUAUAUAAUGUAGGAUAGGAUAGGAUAGGAUGGUCCUCCGAUCCCACAAAUUGUGCUAAUAACUUUAUUUUGUGCUCCCUUCGAUCCCACAUGCGCAUGCGAACAAUGUUUUUUACUCGGUAUCAAAAGUGGUCUCAAUAUUUUUCUCAGGUUAGAAUUACUUGAUCAUGAUAUACUAUAUUUUUUCAGGAACACUGACCUUUGGUUUAUGUGACUUUAUGUAAAGUGAAGUGUGCAUUUCACUUUUACAUAUUAAUAUGUUUUUUUUUUUUUCUGUAGAAUAUCUUAAUUUAAAGAGUAAUGUUCGGUCUUUAAAUCAUAACUCAAUUGACAAAAAUCGAUAUUGUUAGAUUGAAUAUUUUAUCUUGAAUUCAAACUCAAGAUCUCGCAGUUGUGUGAAUUAAAUAUGAUAUAAUUUAUCAUUUCUUCUUAGACAAAGAAAAAAAUAAUAAUAUUCAUAUUUUUUUUUGUUAUUUUCAAUUUUCUUAUUUAAUCUAUAGGAUUUGGAGUCUUGUAAUAUUAGAAGCUAAUUUAGGCUUUUUUUUUCUUGACUUAUUAGAAGCUAAGUCAAAGUUUUUGUUUUAUUUCUCUUUUCAUUUGUUUAUGUAAAACACUAAAACCUCACAAAUUUCUUUUUUAUAAUUUUUUUUGGAUUUUCUCUAAGUUCCUUCUAUAAAAAAUAAUCAUAUUCGAGGCAUGUCGAAAACCAAUAAAUAUGAAUAUUUUUCUUAAUGGAAAUUGAAACUUGAGAUGACCAUAAUAGUUUAACUUGGUUACACCAAAACCAACCUUUGUUGCUAAAACCAUAAAACUUUUAUUAGAGAAGGAGAAAUUGUUUUCAACUAAUUAAUAUAACUUUGACGUGGUAUUAUAGUGUGGUAUCAUUCUUCAAAAACCAUCUGAUUGGCUAAGACCAAUUCCAGCUAGCUAAUUAAUGGUGCUUCAUUUUUGUUGUUGAUAUUGGUUGCUUGCUUCACCAUUGUUAGGCACAUGAAAUUGGCUCGUUUUUGGCAGCACAGUUAUAGUUGCUAUUAUUAGUUCUUGAGAUCUGAUUAUGAGUUAUUAAACGAUAAAAUGAAUAAUAAUUUGCAACUUGAAGGACUAUUCCUAAAGGGCCUAACGAAUUAUUAUUAUUAAUAAAUUCUUAGGAGUAUUCAGCUUACUCUUGUUA